UGAGGAGCAGGAGGCCGAGGGUGUUUGACCAAAUACAAAGUCAUGAUCCCAGUCUCAAUUCCUAGACUUCAGCCAAGCUUCAGAUUCAGAAUCCACAGUGGGGCUUAAGGAGGCCAGAAAAUAAACCUGGACACACUAUGGCCCACAGUGGGACCACUGGGUCCAUAAACCCAGUCCCGGUUAUCUCCCCAUUCCCCACAUGCAUAAUUGGCCUUCAUACACUGGCAACUUUGGUCACCCCCACAGUGCGUCCCUAGUCUGGAAAGUAAGGACUGUCAUUGUACUGAAGCCCAAAGGGAAUCCUCUAAAACUUCCCUCAUCCCAGCCAAGCCAGAAGCAAUAUUGUGCCCCAGGGUGGGACUUGUGGAGGGUACUGCAGGUAUUGUAGGGGUAGCACUGCCAUUAGAGAGCUGAAGGAUGGGGGGUGGUGUUGGGAUUGCCUGUUAUCUCCAUAUAAUUCAGCAAUCUGUCCCUGAAGAAGCCUCGUAGAGAGUGAAUGGAAUUUCUCCAGACUUGACCAAGUAGGAGUCCUGAUUGCAGCUGCCAUGCUGGCUGGAUAUCACUGCUUGGGGAGAUUAAUAAUGCCUCAGUCACAUGGCAAGCAGCUGUAGAUUUGGUGAAUCCAUUUCCUCCCAUUUCAUUUAGAAAAUCUAUAUGGAAUGAUUCACAUUCACAUGGGAUUUAUAAUGCAUUUAUUGACAGCUUGCCUCAGGGCUACCUUAACUACUCAACCUUCUAUAAAUAUCGCCUUAAGAGACCUGGACAAAUCAAAUAUCUCACAGAAUACUAAAUCUGCUCAUUUCAUUGGCAAUAUUACAUAAAUAGGGAUGGAUAAGCAAGAGGGGGAAAGCACACUGAAUUCCUUGGCAAAGCAUGCACUACAGAAGGUGAAGAUAAACCUUACAGAACUUCAAGAGUGGCCACUGCAGUGAAGGUUUAUGGGUCCAGUGGUUAGGGGUAUGCAGGGCUCUCCCCUCCAAAGUAAAAGACACACUUGCAUAUUACAUCUUCACCAGAAGGAAGAACGAACACUGCCUGGUGAGCCUCGCUGGGUUCUGGCAAUGCCACAUUCCACAUCUAAGUACAUUGCUUUGGCCCACACUCUGGGUGAUAUAGGAGGAGGUCAGUUUUGAGUGGGGCCUGGACAGGAAAGGACACUGCAGCAGACCCAGGCUGUGGUGCAGUCAGUCACCAUCCCUCAGACCCCUGGUGCUGGAGGUGGCGGUGUGGGGAAAGAUGCAGGAUGGAGCUGAACCAAGCAUCAGUGGGAGUCAGAAUGGAGGGCCUGGGAUGUGAUGGAUCCAUGGAGUAAGGCCAUGGAAUCCACAGCAGAGAAACAUGCUCCCUGUUAGAAGCAACUUUUAACAUCUUCCUGGCCCUGAUAAGAUAGAAUUCCUGAUCAUGGGACACGAAGCAACCAUGUGAUUCCAAGUGCCCAUGUGUAUUGGCUUUUAUGUGACCCACAGAGUCAUAGAUGGGACAGACCCAGCGGCAUCUAUCAUGAGAUGAAAAUGGUCCAUGUGGGUUGAGCCUCAAUUCCAUGUUAACACCCACAGAAAACACCCAGCCCUGACAUGGCCCUGAAUAACCACACAAAUUGAAGACAAAUUGAAAUUAGCCAGCCGGCAUCACGGAUCAGCCCAGGUCUGACAGGAAGGACUGAUAAGUGGAUAGACACAGUGGCAGGAAUGAGGCUACAAGUGGGUCCAGAAGCAUCGACUCCCCACUACAAAGGACCAUCCAGCUGCUGCUUCCUCUGAAUACUCUGAUUGGUUUACCAACAUUGGGCUACACACUGUAGCAAAAUCGGAGACCCACCUCGAGGCUGCGGGACCCGCGGAGACCCUCAACCUGACAAGAACCCCAGGCGUCUAUACCCGAUUCUAUUUUCACUUAAGCUGCGACCUGGACCCAGACUGGAGCCUCCUCCGCGGGGAUGAACAUACCCCACAUGGCGCCAGUUACCUCGUCCUAAACCAGGAACUGCGCUCUAGGAACGCAGCGGACAAGGCGGCUCAGAUGCUCUGGCGGAGGAACACACAGAGGCCCUCAAAACCUACCUGCAGGGAAGGUGGGCGGAGUGACUCAGCAAAGGCCUUAAGAAUGGGAAGGAGAUGCUGCAGUGGGCAGGUACCAGCAGCCAUGGGGCACCUCCCUGAUCUCCUGCAGAUCUCCCCGAGCCACCCUCCAAAAGAAGGGAAGGAAAAUCGGACCAACGUUAAAAUAUCCCUCUCCCACUUGUCCUGAGGAAGAAGAGUCCUCCUGAGUUUCAUAUCUUAUACCAGAGAGCGACUGAGGGCCCGCCCUGCACUCUGGGACAACUAAAGGAUUGUCUCCCAGGGAAAGGAGGGGAAGACAAUCCCUGGAAUACUGAUCAGCUGUCCCCUUUGACCCCACAGCAGGCUUGGGCACCAGGAAGUUUCUUUUCAGCCUUUGUUAUCUGCCUCACACACAAUGUGUAUCUGUUGGUCUGAUUCCAGCUCUUCUGAGUCCCACGGCCUCCACUCGGGUCAAGACGAGAAAUCUGUUCCCGCCUUAGACACUAGAACUUUCCAAGGAAUAGGAGAUUAUCCCAGGUGCCUCUGUCCAGGUUGGUGUCUGGGUUCUGUGCUCCCUUCCCCACCCCAGGUGUCCCAGCUGUUCUCAGGAUGGUCACAUGGGCACUCCUGGAGUAUCCCAUGAGGAAUACAAAGUGCCUGAAUUUUCUGACUCUUCCCCUCAGAUACCCUAAAGACACACGCGACCCACCACCCCCCGCCAUCUCUGAUCAUGAGGCCACCCUGAGGUGCUAAGUCCUGGGUUUCUACCCUGUGGAGAUCAUACUGACCUGGCAGUGGGAUGGGGAGGACCAAAUCCAGGACACAGAGCUUGUGGGGACCAGAUCUGCAGAGUACAGAACCUUCCAGAAGUGGGUAGCUGUGGUGGUGUCUUCUGGAGAGAAGUAGAGAUACACAUGCCAUGUGCAGCACGAGGUGCUUCCAGAGCCCCUCACCCUGAGAUGAGCUAAGGAGACGAAUGAGGGGUCAUGUCUCUUCUCAGGGAAAGCAGGAGUCCUUCUGGAGCCCUUCACCAGGGUCAGGGCUGAGGCAUGAGGGUCAGGGCCCCUCACAUUCGCCUCCUUUCUCAGGGCCAUCCUCCCAGCCCACAUUCCCCAUCGUGGGCAUCGUUACUGUCCUGGCUGUUCUUGGUGCUGUGGUUCCCACAGCUGUGGUUGUUGCUGUGAUAUUGAAGAAGAGACCAGGUAGGAAAGAGGUGAGCUCCGAGUUUUCUUCUUCCAUUGGUGGGUUUCAAGCCCCAGACGGAAGUUGGCUCAUUUCCUGCCUAGUUGUGAGGCACCAUCUCCACACACAUUUACCCUGUUCAGAUGCCCUGUCAACUCUUGCUCUUUUGUAAAGCACCUGUGAUAUGGAAGCACAAAUUUAUCACCUUGAUUGUGGUCAUGGGAACCUGACUCCCAGCAGUCACAGGUCAGGAGAAGGUCCCUGCUGAGGACAGACGUCAGGAGGACAAUUGGUCCAGCUUCAACACUUCCUCUUUCCUUGGGUUUCCUGAUCCUGACCUGGGUCAGCAGUCACAGUUCUGGAAACUCCUCUUGGGAUCUCAUGGCCCUGCCUCCUCCCUGGCCUCUCACAGUUUGUUUUCUUUCCACAGAUGGACAAGGAGGCAGCUAUGCUCAGGCUACAUGU